rnacentral:rRNA from 1 species
GCUCAGGAUGAACGCUGGCGGCGUGCCUAAUACAUGCAAGUCGAACGAAUCUCUUUUAGAGAUGAGUGGCGAACGGGUGAGUAAUACAUAGGUAACCUGCCCCUGUGCGGGGGAUAACAGGAGGAAACUCCUGCUAAUACCGCAUAGCCAUGAGCACCGCAUGGAGCUCAUGCCAAAUAUCCUUUAUGGGAUAGCGCAGGGAUGGACCUAUGGCGCAUUAGCUGGUUGGCGGGGCAACGGCCCACCAAGGCAACGAUGCGUAGCCGGCCUGAGAGGGCGGACGGCCACAUUGGGACUGAGACACGGCCCAGACUCCUACGGGAGGCAGCAGUAGGGAAUUUUCGGCAAUGGGGGAAACCCUUGAACGAGCAACGCCGCGUGAGCGAAGAAAGGCCUUCGGUUCGUAAAGCUCUGUUGUAAAGGAAGAACGGCGCAUACAGGAAAUGGUAUGCGAGUGACGGUACUUUACCAGAAAGCCACGGCUAACUACGUGCCAGCAGCCGCGGUAAUACGUAGGUGGCGAGCGUUAUCCGGAAUCAUUGGGCGUAAAGAGGGAGCAGGCGGCCGCAAGGGUCUGUGGUGAAAGACCGAAGCUAAACUUCGGUAAGCCAUGGAAACCGGGCGGCUAGAGUGCGGAAGAGGAUCGUGGAAUUCCAUGUGUAGCGGUGAAAUGCGUAGAUAUAUGGAGGAACACCAGUGGCGAAGGCGACGGUCUGGGCCGCAACUGACGCUCAUUCCCGAAAGCGUGGGGAGCAAAUAGGAUUAGAUACCCUAGUAGUCCACGCCGUAAACGAUGGUCACUAAGUGUCGGGGGUCAAACCCCGGUGCUGCAGUCAACGCAAUAAGUGACCCGCCUGAGUAGUACGUUCGCAAGAAUGAAACUCAAAGGAAUUGACGG